UAUUUUACCGCAUAUAUAAAAUACAUAGUUAUAGGCAUAUACAUGCAUGCCCACGGUCAUCUCCAGAGAGUGGUAAUGAGGGGAGACAGGGAGGAUGAAUUAUUUUUGCUUUUAUUCACGUUUUUAGGUGUUGCUUCACUUGUUCCAACAAAUACGUAUUAAUUCUCUAAUCUGUAAAUGAUCGAGUAAAGAAAAAAAAAUUGUUGAGACUAAAAAGACGUCUGCUGUGCGUGCGGCCUGGCCCUGUCACUGCAGCAUGGGUGGGGAUUUGUUAGGCAGCGGAGCGGGCUGUCACCGGAGUCCCUGCUAACUCGGACAGAGGAACCCCUGGAAGUCCCUGACCGUCACACCUGGGCCCCGCAGAGUGCUGGGCUCAUUGGCACGUCACACUUAGAUGACAGGGGUAGCCGUGCCUUCUUGGCAGGCAGGACUCUAGCCAACAGGUAAGACCUUUCCAGGCUGGGAGUAAACAUAGGCCGCCCUUCCAGAUCAGGUGAGCAUCGCCACCUGGCAGGGAGGAGGCACGGAUUCGUUGCAGGAGAAAGAACUUGAGCUUGGGGCAGGAGGAAAAAUGAGAACUUGAGUUCAAGGGCUGCCACUGCCGCCAUGAAAUGAAGUAUCUGACUGGGACUUUUUGUUUUUACAUCAGGGAAUGCUGCUUUAAGGCAAUCCUGUUUCCUAUGUCUUUCAUGUUCCACUGUCCUGUGAUCCGGGGACAGAGUAGGGGAACAAGAUUGAGCUGAUCUUUGACUUUCUGGAGCUACACUGGAGUUGGGGAGAUGGACGGAUGGUACACCACGGACCGAGCAGAGAGAAAGAUGGCUCCGAAGGAAACCGAAAAGGGUGGGAAGAUCAGGACUGGCCUGUUUUGGAUCCGGAGAUAAUGGGACGUCUUCCUGAGGAGAGGAUGCUUUAAACCGAGUCAGGAAUGAAGAGAAGGGGCCCGCAGGCCCUCAGUGGAUUGGAUGAUGCCUACUGGUGAGGGUGACCUUCUUUACUCAUCUACUGGUUGAAACGCUAGUCUCUUCCAGAAACAUCCUCACAGACACAUCCAGAAGUAAUGUUUUACCAGGCUUCUGUAGAUGUUAACUUAGACUUGCGGCAGGAGACUGGUUUUGUGUGAGUUUGCCUGGGGAAGAAAAUGGAGGUUCCACUAUCUUCUGGGAGUUUUCCGUGGGCACUGACAGCCUGCUCGUGUGCCCAGGGCCGAGAUCUGUUAUUCCAUCUCAAUCCUGGAACCCACGAUCACAGCUCAUCCUGGGUUUAAAGGAGGGCCUAUGAGAUGAGAAGCUUUUUGGACAUAUGACCAACAUUCAGAUAAAACACCUGCUCCCACCGAGAACCUUCAAAGCCAAUUUCAUCUGCUUUUGGCCCCUUCAGAGUAGCUGCAAUUGAAGGAUAAAUGCUCCAUGCCAGUUGGUGUUUGUUCAGAGGACACUGGAAGAAGAGGGACAAAGGUGGCCUGGAUGUUGAUCCGUGAGCCUAAGUCUAUGGUUCUCUGAAGCAAAGGUGCCAGUGAAGUUGCUUCAUAAAAAAACAAAACAAAACAAACCUUCCAGAAUCUUCCAUUGGAGAAUUGUCACCUGCAAAGACCUCUGAGAGGAUUCUCCCCUCAAGAGUAAAUUGUCAUAAGGGCUCCCUGUGACGGUUUAUUUUUGCUGUCUUUCCACGAUGGAGAAAAGAGAGACGAUUGGAAAUGGGGCCGUGUGGAAAUGAAACCGGGACUCCAGGUGAAGAGACAGACACAGCCCCCCCCAGCAAAAUGCACAAGCGAGAGGAAACCCUGAAGACCCACGGUGGGUGCGGAAUUCUUGUGGGGGAGGGGAUCGCUCCUGCUUUUGCCGCAAAGGACAGGAGGUAGACCCCGGCACUGUGUCGAUUCUAGCAGAAGAGGCGCAUUUUUCUGGGUCCUGGCUCUGAGUGUGCGUGUGCGAGGAGUGGAGUGGCCAUCAUCUCAAAGAGACCGGGUGAGAAGGUGGCAGGUGCUGAAUGGAAACACCAACAGACAGAAUUGGAGAGGAGCACUUGGUAGGACGCUUCCUAAAAACCCUGCUUUGCCUCAUCGGUAUGCUGUUCCGGAACAGUUCUGCCUGACGCGGUGCUCCCGCAGGAUGCUCUCCAGGAACAUUCCGGUUAGCCUACCUCAGAAGAGUAACAGCCUGUGCGUGAACCCGUUACCCUCAAGACUUUGCUCUUCUUUCCACAAUACCUUUUGGUGGCCAGUCGACUUCUUCGACUUCCUGUUAGCUUUUCCAAUGGUUGGUUCGGAAACUCAAGUGAUUCUAGCCUUGGCUAUGUGGUCUCAGGAUUCGCACAACUAGUUUUCCUCGUUAUGAAUAUUGAGAAGAGUUUGUUGGCAUGUUGUAUGAUGAGGAAGGAGCCCUGGGAUGGGAGUCCAAAGGUGUUGUAAACUGGGGCGGGGUACUUCGUCUCUCUGAACCUCAGUCUUGUCAACUGGGUGGGUUAAAGUGCUUCUUACUACCAAAUCCGAGAAGUCCUAAGAACUGUGCUCCAGAGGAGAAAACACACAUUGGCAAAUGUGGAUUUAUUCACUCUUCCGCCAUGCGUUUGUCGACUGGUUUGAGAGAGUUCUGAAUUCACCUAGUAAUAACAUUAGCUUAAUUUCAUAUGGAAGGACACAGGUUCCACAGCUUAACCAUAAAACUUGUACUCUGGUUGACUUCCAUCCUUUCCCUAACAAAGUAGAUGAAUUAAUCCAGACAAUUACUGUCAGGUGAAGGGGCAAGGUUGGAGAUUCUCUGAGAAAUCUGAUGGUUGUACAGAUGAUAGGGUUAAUUUGCAAGACCUCGUAUGGAACACUUUCAUUAUUUCGGUUGCUAUUAGAGUUAGAUAGUGCUGGCUGGGUAGAAAUCUGUUAAUGUUAUAAAGUUUGGGUCAAUUUACCAAUGGAAAGGACAGCACCAUUCUAGGUUUUUUUCCCCCCUCUCUUUCUAGAAACCAUAGCAUUUAGAGAAAUUAUAUGAUGAUAUUGGACAAAUAUAGCCAAACCCAAUCAGCCCAAAAGUAGUGGAAAAGCAAACCAUUAAAACCCUCUCCCAAACAGAAGCCUAUUGGGAAGCAACGUAUAAAUAGAGGAAAGCUUAUGAAAUGAAAUAGACAGGAUAUAAAAUUUCCAUAUCCUCAAUCCCGCAACAAGGACUUUUCCUACAUAUAUUGCCAUUACCCUGAUAAGAUUGGGAGUUGACCAGUGGCUCUAUGAAUUUAAAGCAAAUGGUGACAAUCAGGUCCUCAGGGUAUACCCUCAUCUUCUUCAUUCACUGCAUAGCCAUUAUUUUAGAGUUUUCAUUUAUAUUUUUAUGUUUAUGGUCCUUGGAGGAGGCUGAAUACUACAUUUUGACAGUGGAAUCUGAAAGAGCUACAAUUCUAGAUUCUGUAAAUACUUCUUGAUCAUAGAAACGCCUUAGUUUUCGGGGCGCCUGGGUGGCUCAGUCUGUUAACUGCCCGACUUCAGCUCAGGUCAUGAUCUCACGGUUUGUGGGUUCAAGCCCCACA